GUCAACUUGUAUUUUGUGUAUGCAGAAUACGUGGUUAAAAAUAAUGGAGAACGCAAGAGAUCACUUUUUACUGCAACACACAAUUUACCGGGGAGAUGAACUGCUCGUGCAGAGAUGAUUGGCAUCCCACAGUGUUUAAGAGGCUAUUCAGCACACUUGAGCUCAGUGCCAUAGCAACAGGAGGUGGCUACGAAAUGAUCACAGCAUUUCGGUCUGUGUACCACAGUCAACUUCCUGCCACGAUGAUGUAGUGCCGCAUCUUUGUGUUUGCUUACAUUUCUCUCAGCUGUGAAUGGUGCCGUGGGUGGUCUAUGCUGUGGCUCACUGGGGCUCCAAAGCAGUCUUCUCAAAAUGGGUCCUUGCUUUUCAUUUAGUAGAGCCUCUAAGAAAGUAUGGCUUUGCCCCCAGGGAGAAUUGAGUUUCAAUCCAAGCUCCCAACCUGCUGGAAGACCCUAGGCAAGAUGGCCACCUCGUGGGCACAUCGUGUCCAACAGCCUGUCUUCGGUGGCAUGAGCAGACAGAGACGACCACUGGCCAGACCCAUGAAUUCCCUGGGGUGUACGAGAAUGUGGCCGUCUCCCCUGCCCUCUGCAUUUAUUAGCUGAGAUCCUCCAUUCAGAGAAGAAUCAAUGACCCAAAUGUAGGAGACAAUGCUGUUCAGUCCUAAAAAGGAAUGAAGUUCUUCUGAUCCCUGCUUUAACAUGGGUAAAUCUGAAAACCACGUGAAGCGAAAGGAGCCUCUUUCACUAUUGGAUUCUGCAGAGGAACUCUUCACCUAGGAGAGAGUCGGACACAGAGACUACGAAGCCCUGGCAGGGGAGGGUAAGAAGACUGCACUCCUCCCCAUCCCAGGGAACCUGGAGCAGCCCUCUGGAGAUGCCAGGUGCGCGUUAGCAUUUCUCAUGGGUUCACGCGAAAUCCUAAAUGGGAAAGGAAGCAGGAUGUAACCUGGUCAUCAUCCCAGGCCUCGGAGGGCCCUGGACCUGGGUGCUGGCAUGACCAAACAGUGCCCGCGGUGGCUGGACUCCCCACGCCCACGCUCACCACCCUCCGUGGGAUAUGAAAAAACCUCCUGCCGGCCAGAGGAGAGCCUGGCCCCUUUGGCCUUUACCUGGCCACCAUGUCUCCACUUUCCAAGGCACCAUCGUAGGUGGACGCAGCCUUGGUUUACCUAAGAUGAGAUUGAGUCAGAGAGCCGCAAGACAUCUUGGCCAGGGUUACAAAGUGAGCAGGAGAGACAAGACAACACUCUAGAAAGGUGGUGAGAGAUUCCCUGAGGACCCAUGCAGUGAUCUCCUUGCCAGCUCCUCCAGAAGAAUCAAAGCCUUCGGUGGCUCUCAGAUGCACAGGUGGCUCAGAGACUGAAAAGAGCAGCCUUGGAAGAGAGCCAUGCAGGGGACACCCCAGAGGCCCCUACCUCCAUCCAGCGACCACAGAUUCCCAUGGCGGUGGUACUGGUAGCACUUGGACCUGGCUAAAUGAUUUUUGAUUUAACCACACAGCGGAAUAUUAUGCAGUUAUUAAGAGUCAAUUAACCAUCCUUCUUUUCUCCACACUCAGUAUUAGAUUGAAACAGCGGAAGAAGCACUUCGGCAGUCAGGGUCCCCAGAGUGGAGCAUGAAGUCAGGUUAAAACACACCAGCAUGAAUAAUUAACUCUUGGUUGUGACAUUGUGAGUGACUGGCAUUGUUUUUCAAUUAUUUUCCCAUUCUCAAUGCAUCAAUACACUAUUCUUAUUGUAAAAAAAAAUAAACAUUUAUAAAGAGCCCUCUCUUACAUCAAGAGCGAUAACAUAAACUUCUGCAUAAGGAGGUUGGAAG